UUCAACUUUCGGCAGCUCCCUGCUACACAUUCGCGCAUGCGCAUUGAGACUUUCGCUUUCACUUUGGAUUGUGAAAAAGAAAACACUUCGCACGCAGGAUUGUGUUGAAUAUUUUCGCUGUGCUCGAACAGAAACGAGAUAUAUAAGGACUUCAUAGAAUUCACCAACAUCGAAUCAUUGGAGACCCUGAAGCAUUCAAGUACAAGAUGACGAAGCUUAGAAAAUUGUGUUGUCUUUUACACCAUUUUCAUGGAUGGUUGCAGAGUUACUUCAGUUCCCAUGACAAUGUUGAGAAACCAGGACAGUUGAUGAAGUUAAGAUUGGGUACUUGAAGGAGAUGUUGACUUUGUUGAGGAAGUCCCUGGAGAAGUUUGUUUAGGCAAUGAUCAUAAAGUCGACCAAGGACCCCACAACUGUGCCAUCCAAAGACAGCAACUCCCAGCUGAAUGACAACAUCAUUUCCACUGAUGUAAUGACAAGAGCCUACAUGGUGGACCAUGAGGAUGAAAAUCAAUCAUCAUCACUACAGAGGGCAGUAAGAAAAUUCCACCAUGCAGUCACAUCAAAGAUGCUGGUCAAAUUUCUUUUCAAGGAUAUGGUGGUUUCCAGCCUUGGCUUCCUAAAUCCAGCAAAUGGAUGAGAUCUAU